CAAGUGCAGCAGCAGGUAUUUGUUCCAGGUCUACAGCCCCAUCCCUUGCAACCUCAGGGAAUGAUUCAUCAGGGCCAGGGCUUGAGUUUUACAACUCCAAUGGGGCCUCAACUAUCCCCUCAGUUGGGAAACUUGCAAAUGGGGAUGACUCCGCAAUAUACACAACAACAGCCUGGGAAAUUUGGUGGCCCUCGCAAAACUACUGUCAAGAUUACUCAUCCUGAUACACAUGAGGAGCUGAGGCUUGAUAAACGGGCUGAUCCAUAUUUGGAUGGCGGGUCGUCAGGUCCAUCAGGCCCAAGGUCCCAUCCUAAUUUGCCUCCUCCCUCCCAAUCUAUUCCAUCAUUUACACCCCCACAUCCAAUCAACUUCUAUACCAAUUCCUACAAUGCCAGUUCCCUCUUCUUUCCUUCUCCAAGUUCG
rnacentral:lncRNA from 1 species